ACCUCAUGAUAUGGACAUUUGCAGAGUAUGUCCCUAAAAUGCUCCCAAGUCUCAAAAAAGAGUUCAUUAUCCAUUUGUGAAAAACUCGUGAUGGCUCUCCAAAGAU